rnacentral:rRNA from 1 species
CCUACGGGGAGGCUGCAGUGGGGAAUAUUGGACAAUGGGGGGAACCCUGAUCCAGCCAUGCCGCGUGUGUGAAGAAGGCCCUCGGGUUGUAAAGCACUUUCAGUGAGGAAGAACGCCUGGUGGUUAAUACCCAUCAGGAAAGACAUCACUCACAGAAGAAGCACCGGCUAACUCCGUGCCAGCAGCCGCGGUAAUACGGAGGGUGCGAGCGUUAAUCGGAAUUACUGGGCGUAAAGCGCGCGUAGGUGGCUUGAUAAGCCGGUUGUGAAAGCCCCGGGCUCAACCUGGGAACGGCAUCCGGAACUGUCAAGCUAGAGUGCAGGAGAGGAAGGUAGAAUUCCCGGUGUAGCGGUGAAAUGCGUAGAGAUCGGGAGGAAUACCAGUGGCGAAGGCGGCCUUCUGGACUGACACUGACACUGAGGUGCGAAAGCGUGGGUAGCAAACAGGAUUAGAUACCCCUGUAGUC